GAUGAACGCUGGCGGCGUGCCUAAUACAUGCAAGUCGAGCGAACAGACGAGGAGCUUGCUCCUCUGACGUUAGCGGCGGACGGGUGAGUAACACGUGGAUAACCUACCUAUAAGACUGGGAUAACUUCGGGAAACCGAAGCUAAUACCGGAUAAUAUAUUGAACCGCAUGGUUCAAUAGUGAAAGACGGUUUUGCUGUCACUUAUAGAUGGAUCCGCGCCGCAUUAGCUAGUUGGUAAGGUAACAGCUUACCAAGGCAACGAUGCGUAGCCGACCUGAGAGGGUGAUCGGCCACACUGGAACUGAGACACGGUCCAGACUCCUACGGGAGGCAGCAGUAGGGAAUCUUCCGCAAUGGGCGAAAGCCUGACGGAGCAACGCCGCGUGAGUGAUGAAGGUCUUCGGAUCGUAAAACUCUGUUAUUAGGGAAGAACAAAUGUGUAAGUAACUAUGCACGUCUUGACGGUACCUAAUCAGAAAGCCACGGCUAACUACGUG
rnacentral:rRNA from 1 species